AAAAAAGCAAACCCUAAAUUUCCGCGUGCAACGUUUGACUGUCCGUCUUAUAUAAAAUUUUUUUAUAAUUAGUAUUUUCAUUNAUUAGUAUUUUUAUUGUUAUUACAUGAUAAAACAUGAAUAUGACUACUUUUUAUUAUUCUUUAUAUACUUUUUAAAUAAGACGGAUGGUUAAAUAUUGGACACGGAUAUCCACUACUACACUUAUU
rfam:Oryza meridionalis cultivar OR44 (W2112) chromosome 8, whole genome shotgun sequence.